GACAGAGGGUGCAAACGUUGUUCGGAAUUACUGGGCGUAAAGCGUGCGUAGGCGGUGAAGUAAGUCGGAUGUGAAAGCCCAGGGCUCAACCUUGGAAGUGCAUUCGAAACUGCUUCGCUUGAGUACUGGAGAGGCUGGUGGAAUUCUCGGUGUAGAGGUGAAAUUCGUAGAUAUCGAGAGGAACAUCUGUGGCGAAGGCGGCCAGCUGGACAGAUACUGACGCUGAGGCACGAAAGUGUGGGGAGCAAACAGG
rnacentral:rRNA from 1 species